CGUAGGGGGCCGAGCGUUGUCCGGAGUUACUGGGCGUAAAGCGUGCGCAGGCGGCGCGUUCUGCCCGGCGUGAAAGCCCCCGGCUCAACCGGGGGAACGUCGUCGGGGACGGGCGCGCUUGAGGGCGGCAGGGGGCUGGUGGAACUCCCGGUGUAGUGGUGAAAUGCGUAGAGAUCGGGAAGAACACCUGUGGCGAAGGCGGCCAGCUGGGCCGACCCUGACGCUGAGGCACGAAGGCGUGGGGAGCGAACGGGAUU
rnacentral:rRNA from 1 species